CUCAAUCCUUCCACCCUCUGUGAGGGCGUCUCUUUAGAACCGAUUGAGCACCGAAUCACCACUAUUUGCUUCCGUUGGUUACAUUUUCCUCUUCCAUGUUUUCUCAUUUGGUCACCAUCGCCUCCCCAUCCUAUUUACCUUACACCGCUUAAAAAAGGUUGCUUAGAACAACCCUAAUGGAGCUGUCGGUCGACUAUUUUUUUGUGAUGAUUUCUACAACGAAGCAACAACACUCUGCUUCAUACAUGCACCGCUUACUUCCUCCUCCACUUUCUUUCUUCAAUAUUGGCGCAAACGGAAGAACUCGCUUCAAAGCUUUGCCUUUUCGCUUCUCCGCUGAUUUGUGCUUUGUGGACGCACACCACCGACAACAUCCUGGCCAUUCCCCACCAUCUUCUUUCUAUCUACUUUGUCUUUCUUUGGAGGCGAUAUCAGCGUUCACACUCGUGUUUUGGCACCAACAACAAACAAACUGUCACCGCCUACUGCUGCUUCUAUUCAUUUAAUCAAUGAUUUUUUAUUAUUCACGUUUUCAUUUGGCAGCAGAGAGCACGAGUGGUUGGAGUCUUUGGAUUGCUGGACAUUUUUAUCUAACGAAUGGAUUUUUUUUUUCAAUUUUGUUGAAAUUAGGGUUUAUGACAACACAACAAUCGAGGAUGAUGGCUAGCUCCUGAAGAAUUUAUUAAUGAAUUUAUCGAUAUGGGCCUUAUUUUCUUUUUUGUUUUCAAUUCCGAAAUCCACAGUCGAUUCACUGCAAUCGAUCACGGACACCCGCAAUAUCAUUCAGGAUACAACAAUAAUAGAACAGAUCCACGAUGAGUUUCCCAUGAAAGACACUCUCUAAAAGGAAUCCCGAUUUCACCAGAAGGUUGAUACUACUAUCACAUAGGAUGCAUCUCCAAAACUACUAGGGUAUUGGAGCUCCAAUAUUUCUUUUAACUUCUCAAGUUGCUGGUUUGGGACUCACCUUAACAAAAGCAGAUCGGGUCAUAGUAGUUGAUCCAGUUUGGAAUCCAAGGAGAAUGCAGGAGCAGAAGCAACCAGGUCGACUGUCGAGACGUUGAGUAAAAUAUGUUGGUGGAUUUUAGAUUGAGAAUUGGUUUUUUUAUCCCUAACUAUAAAAAAAAAGAAAGUAGUAAUUGUAUACCAUUUGAUGACUUCUGGUACAGUUGAGGAAAAGAUAUACAGAAAACAGAUAUACAAAGGGGGUUUAUUCAGAAGUGCUACUGAACACAAAGAGCAAAUUCUGUAUUUCAGUCAACAAGGAUGCAUCUCUUAAAGAUCACACAAAGUUUUUUGAGUCUCUUGGUAUAGCUGGAAUUAGUAACCAUAAGUUGCUUUUCUCAAAAACUGCUAUAGUCCCUGUUGUGCAAGUUGAAGAACUAACAAGGAUUAAGCAAUCAACUUAUGUGGGAAACUCAUCUUCUUACAACUCACGUGAACCAAACAUGGAUGUGUAUGUCUUCUUAAAAUCUCAAUCUUCUUUUUACCUUAUAAAGAUAUAUUUUUAUUUUAUUUAUUUUAUAUUAUAUUUCAUUUAUAGGGGAGCUCAAUUUACUAUCAAUCCAAAGUAUGUUGUCAUUCUAUAUUGCCUUCCAAAUUUUUUUUGAUUUGUUAGGUUAAAUUUCGUUGCAGUUUUUUAUUUUUUUUAUUUAAUUCAUUUUAGUUUGUUUUUUGGACCCAUUUUAUGAUGUAUUUUAUGUUAUUGAUUGUUUCAGGUUAAAAAGAACACAGAAGAUCUAACACAUCAACAUGUAUAUGCCCGAUCAAAGUCCAGGUGUAAAAAAGUGUUGCUUCUGUUACAUACCUUUUGGAUCUUGUAAGAACACGCUUUUCAGCACAUGUAGGAUUUUGAUAAAUCGUAAGCAUAUUAUACUGUAUUUAUAUUGGAAUUAUCAUUUUUCAUGUCCUAAUUCCCCAAUGAAACUAAUCCAUUGCACAACCUUUAAUGAUUUUGGACUUUAGCUUUGUUGUAAACCCGAUAAGAUACCCGAAACCCAAUAGGAAAUUAUGUAUUCCAUUUUUUUAAAAUUUAAGUUGUUUUUAGUAAACAAAAAAAUCAAUAAAUGACCAAUUUGGUCUUGGCCAGUUUUAUAUAUGUUAAGCCAAUUUUUUUUUUAGUUGACCAACUUGGUCUUGGCCAUCUACACACAUGCAGGUAUGCAAAAAACAACAACAUACUUUUAUUUGAAUCAAAAUUUUAAAGUUGAAUGCUAUAAUUAGAAAAAAAAUUAUUCGUGUUCUAUAUAUAGACUUUAACUAUGGUUGGACCAA